GGUGAGAUGGCCGAGCGGUCCAAGGCGCCAGACUAAGGUGACUUUAUCAAACCGAAAGCGUAUUAUCUGGUCUCUUCGGGGGCGGGAGUUCGAAUCUCCCUCUCAUCA
rnacentral:tRNA from 1 species